AGCCGCGUGGUGAGCACAGAGCGAACUAUUCUUUCGCCUUUUACUAAAGAAUACCGUGUGCUCUCCACUAAAAGCGGCAUACGCCUAUUUUUGGAGGGUUUCUUCCCUUUGUGGGGAAA